GACGAACGCUGGCGGCGUGCUUAACACAUGCAAGUCGAACGGAAAGUCCCUGCCUUUGUGCGGUGCUCGAGUGGCGAACGGGUGAGUAACACGUGAGUAACCUGUCCUUGACCUUGGGAUAUCUUAAUGAAACUUGGUGUCAUACCGCCUAAGAUCUCCUGCCUCAUGGUGGGGGUGGGAUAGUUUCGGUGGUUGGGGAUGGACUCGCGGCCCAUCGGAUUGUUGGUGGGGUAGUGGAUUACCAAGGCCAGGAAGGGUAGCCGGCCUGGGAGGGUGAGCUGCCACACUGCGAUUGGGCUGCGGCCCAGACUCCACCGGGAGGCAGGAGAGGGGAAGAGUGUACAAGGGGAGGAGGGCAAACGUAGCAACGCAGCGUGGGGGAUGACGGGCAUCGGUUUGUGAAGUGAAUUCGCCUGUGACGAAGCGAGAGUGACGGUAAUGGGUAAAGAAGCACCGGCUAACUACGUG
rnacentral:rRNA from 1 species